rfam:Danio rerio chromosome 7, GRCz11 reference primary assembly.
AUUCACAGUCAUUUUACCCUGCAGCCCAAGAGCAGUGACUCACUGAAGCUAGGCAGGGCUGAGCCUGGUCAGUACCUGGAUGGGAGACCACAUGAGAAAGCUAGGUUGCUGCUGGGA